GAUGAACGCUGGCGGCGUGCCUAAUACAUGCAAGUCGAGCGAACAGAUGAGGAGCUUGCUCCUCUGUCGUUAGCGGCGGACGGGUGAGUAACACGUGGAUAACCUACCUAUAAGACUGGGAUAACUUCGGGAAACCGGAGCUAAUACCGGAGAAUAUAUUGAACCGCAUGGUUCAAUAGUGAAAGACGGUUUUGCUGUCACUUAUAGAUGGAUCCGCGCCGCAUUGGCUAGUUGGUAAGGUAACGGCUUACCAAGGCAACGAUGCGUAGCCGACCGGGGAGGGUGAUCGGCCACACGGGAGCGGGGACACGGUCCAGACGCCUACGGGAGGCAGCAGUAGGGAAUCGGCCGCAAUGGGCGAAAGCAUGACGGAGCAACGCCGCGUGAGUGAUGAAGGUCUUCGGAUCGUAAAACUCUGUUAUUAGUGAAGAACAAAUGUGUAAGUAACUAUGCACGUCUUGACGGUACCUAAUCAGAAAGCCCCGGCUAACUACGUG
rnacentral:rRNA from 1 species